rnacentral:rRNA from 1 species
UACGUAGGGUGCGAGCGUUAAUCGGAAUUACUGGGCGUAAAGCGUGCGCAGGCGGUUUUGUAAGCCAGAUGUGAAAUCCCCGGGCUUAACCUGGGAAUGGCAUUUGGGACUGCAAGGCUUGAGUGCGGCAGAGGAGACUGGAAUUCCUGGUGUAGCAGUGAAAUGCGUAGAUAUCAGGAGGAACACCGAUGGCGAAGGCAGAUCUCUGGGCCGUAACUGACGCUGAGGAGCGAAAGCGUGGGGAGCAAACAGG